UCUGGCUCAGGAUGAACGCUGGCUACAGGCUUAACACAUGCAAGUCGAGGGGCAGCAUGGGGUUUGCUUGCAAACCCCGAUGGCGACCGGCGCACGGGUGAGUAACGCGUAUCCAACCUUCCCGCGACUCGGGUAUAACCUGCCGAAAGGCAGACUAAUCCCCGAUGUCCUCCACUUUGGACAUCUUUKGUGGAGCAAAGGCUUCGGCCGGUUGCGGAUGGGGAUGCGUCCGAUUAGCUUGUUGGCGGGGCAAUGGCCCACCAAGGMUUCSAUCGGUAGGGGUUCUGAGAGGAAGGCCCCCCACAUUGGAACUGAGACACGGUCCAAACUCCUACGGGAGGCAKCAGUGAGGAAUAUUGGUCAAUGGGCRGAAGCCUGAACCAGCCAAGUAGCGUGCAGGAUGACGGCCCUAUGGGUUGUAAACUGCUUUUAUGCGGGGAUAACCGGGGCCACGCGUGGCCCCCUGCAGGUACCGCAUGAAUAAGGACCGGCUAAUUCCGUGCCAGCAGCCGCGGUAAUACGGAAGGUCCGGGCGUUAUCCGGAUUCAUUGGGUUUAAAGGGAGCGUAGGCCGUGGAUUAAGCGUGUUGUGAAAUGUAGGCGCUCAACGUCUGACUUGCAGCGCGAACUGGUCCACUUGAGUGUGCGCGACGCAGGCGGAAUUCGUGGUGUAGCGGUGAAAUGCUUAGAUAUCACGAGGAACCCCGAUUGCGAAGGCAGCUUGCGGGAGCACCACUGACGCUGAGGCUCGAAGGUGCGGGUAUCGAACAGGAUUAGAUACCCUGGUAGUCCGCACGGUAAACGAUGGAUGCCCGUUCUCCGGCUUUUUUG
rnacentral:rRNA from 1 species